rnacentral:ncRNA from 2 species
AGUGUUGAUGUUGCUGGUGGUUCGCCGGGCACAGCCGUGUCCGGCGUCGCAAGAGGGAACCCGGUGCAAGACCGGGACUGCCCCGCAGCGGUGAGCGGGAACGACCGCCGUCCUACGCACUGGGUCCGGACAACGGGCCCGGGAAGCGACGGCCAGUAGGGGUCUCGUACGACACGAGACGCGCCCGCGAGUCCGAAGACCUGCCACCGGUGCGCACGCCGG